GCCCACAUUCCCCGCCGCGGCGGAGCGCUGCACGUGGUGGUCCUCACUUGUGGCCGGGCAGGGAGGCACCGUGGACCCGGGAUAUCCGGUGGACUCGAGGCGCUGGCCAUCCCCGGUCCGUGCCCGUUACCUCUGCAGCAGGCAGAGUGGCGCGUCCCGCAGUGGAGAACUUCCGCUUGCGCCUCCCCUGAGAGCUGAGCUGGCGGCGGCGUCUCCUCCGGGACGGCGCGGGCGAGGACACUUGGCAAGCUGACGGGACAGGGCAGCCAUGGCUGGCCACCAAGCCUACCAGCGGGCCCUGGGGCUGAGGGACGGAGAGGAAAGGGCGUGGGAGGCGCGGCGAUGUUCCCACCCGAGUGCGUGUUCUGCAGGAAGUUUAGAGGAGGGCCUGGACGAGUCAUGACUGAGAAGAAUUUGCCAAGUGUUUGGCAGGUUUCUGCGUGUUUAAAUCUCUCAGCAGCUGAUGCAGUAUCCAUUGUGGAAGUGGACAGCAGCAACCACAUGAUGCCAUAUGCUUCGAGGGCAGCUUCUGCGGGCAGAAGGCACCUGGGCAAAGGGACCCUCGUAGGUGGACAUCUGCAAAGGACACUGCUGUCCACUGCCAGCUGACUUUGUCUCACCCCACUGGCACUCAAGUAAAGUCCUGCUCCUGAAGUGUUAUUAAAGGCCAGGGGAGAGAGAGAGUCUUACUGAAUUGCUCAGCUUCAACAUCUUUCAACCAUCCUCAUCUUCCAGAGAGAUUGUCAUUGAACACACACCCCAAUCAAGCCCUCACUGUUGCCUAUUCGAUUGAAUAUGAGAGUCUCCUUGUUGAUCUGCCAGGAAGACAGCCUCAUGCCAGCUCCUUGAGUUGAAGAACAAUCAUUGUCUUCUUCUUUCCCUCUAAGGGAAUUUUAC